AGGGUUACGGUCGUUGGAAAUUCUGGAUCUCAGCUACUGCAAUCUAAUAGAUGGAGGACUUCCGGAAGACAUUGGAUGUUUAUCCUCUUUAAAAGAGUUGAAUCACAAUAGAAAUAAUUUUGAGCGUUUGCCUCAAAGCAUAGCCCAACUAGGUUCUCUUCAAUUCUUGGACUUAUCAUAUUGCAAGAGGCUCAAAGAGUUACCAGGUUUCACGGGGAUGCAAUGCUUGGAUACUUUGGAUCUCAGUUUCUGCAAUCUAACAGAUGGAGGGCUUCUGGAAGACAUUGGAUCCUUAUCCUCUUUGAAAGAGUUGAAUCUCUGUGGAAAUAAUUUUGAGCAUUUGCCUUGUAGCAUAGCCCAACUUUGUGCUCUUCGAACCUUGGA